rnacentral:rRNA from 1 species
UACGUAGGGUGCAAGCGUUGUCCGGAAUUAUUGGGCGUAAAGAGCUCGUAGGCGGCUUGUCGCGUCGGCCGUGAAAACCUGAGGCUCAACCUCGGGCCUGCAGCCGAUACGGGCAAGCUAGAAUUCGGUAGGGGAGACUGGAAUUCCUGGUGUAGCGGUGAAAUGCGCAGAUAUCAGGAAGAACACCCGUGGCUAAGGCGGCUCUCUAGUACGGUACUGACGCUGAGACGCGAAAGCGUGGGGAGCGAACAGG